CACGUAGGGUGCGAGCGUUGUCCGGAAUUAUUGGGCGUAAAGAGCUCGUAGGCGGUGUGUCGCGUCGGCCGUGAAAACCUGCAGCUUAACUGUGGGCUUGCGGUCGAUACGGGCAUCACUGGAGUUCGGCAGGGGAGACUGGAAUUCCUGGUGUAGCGGUGAAAUGCGCAGAUAUCAGGAGGAACACCGGUGGCGAAGGCGGGUCUCUGGGCCGAUACUGACGUGAGGAGCGAAAGUGUGGGGAGCGAACAGG
rnacentral:rRNA from 1 species